CUAGCCCUAAACUUUGAUAGUACUAUUACUAUCCGCCAGAGAAUUACGAGCGAAAAGCUUAAAACUCAAAAGACUUGACGGUGCCCCAAACCAACCUAGAGGAGCCUGUCCUAUAAUCGAUAACCCACGCUUUACCUCACCUGCCCUCGCACUAAUAGGUCAGCCUAUAUACCGCCGCCUUCCCGCCUACCUUACAAAAGCACCACAGCAAGCAAAAUAGCUCUUCGCUAGGACGUCAGGUCAAGGUGUAGCUAAUGGGCAGGAAAGAGAUGGGCUACAUUCUCUACAUAUAUAGAUCACACCCCCGGUAUUAUGAAAACAUGCCUCAAAGGAGGAUUUAGUAGUAA
rnacentral:rRNA from 1 species